UCGUGCAGACAAGAGACAGUUCCGUUCAACGAGUUGAAGAGUGAGGACGCGUUUUUUUUUUUCGCUACCGCUUUUUAUCUCGAGGUGACUCCCGGAGGAGAAUAAUGAGCAAUUUACCCGCGACAUAUGUCGAGGGUUUCCACGAUCUGGAGGCCGUCAGGGCUAUGGAGUACACAUCACUCGGUAAAACUGGGCUAAAGGUCAGCAAAUUAUCGCUUGGGGGAGGAACUUUUGGCGGUAACUACGGACCUUUUGAUGAAGCAGAAGCCAUUGCUACCAUCCGGGAGGCCCUUCGUCUGGGCAUCAAUUACAUUGACACGGGCCCGUGGUACGGCCAAGGUCUCUCGGAAAGAAUUAUCGGAAAAGCCCUUAAAGGGGUGCCGAGAGCUGCCUAUUACUUAGCGACGAAAGUGGGGAGAUACGAGUUGGAUUUCGAAAACAUGUUCGAUUUCAGUAUUGAGAAAUCACGGAGAAGUUUUCAAGAGAGUCUGGAACGCCUUCAACUCGACUACGUCGAUGUUCUACAAGUUCACGACAUAGAAUUCGCCCCUUCGCUCGACAUCAUCAUCACUCAGACACUACCAGAGAUAUCACGUCAGGUCAGCCAGGGCAGAGCGAGAUUUAUCGGCAUCACUGGAUAUCCAGUUUCCACUUUGAAGGAGUGCAUUGAAAAAAGCAAUAUUAAUAUAUCCAUGAUAUUAUCAUAUGCGAGGCAUACACUUAUCGAUGAUACUCUACUGCAGUAUGUUCCAUUUUUCCAUGAGCACAACAUAGGAAUAAUAAAUGCAUCUGCUCCGUGCAUGGGGCUUUUAACCACCAGGGGACCUCCUGAUUGGCAUCCAGCAAGUGAUGAGACAAAAAAACAAUGUCAUGAGGCAGCUCAAUACUGCACCGAUCAUGAUUCAGGACUAGAGAGAUUGGCAGUCUGGCAUGCCCUGCAAAGUCCGGAUAUUGCGACUCAUCUCAUUGGAAUGCAGAACUUGGAGCAGUUACGAACGAACUUGGAUGUGGUGUACAAUGGUAUCACGGAUAAAGAGAGAACUUUACUCAAUGAGGUUUUAGAGAGUUCCCGAAAUCGAAGACUUAUUAAAUGUUUCUUCUAAACUUCCCGUUCAAAUAUCGUCCCCCUGUUCUACAAUUGCGUCAAGCCAAUAUUUAACGCAGAUAUUUAUCGAAGAUCAAAGGUACUCACUGGGAGAAUAAAGAGAUAAAGGCAUACAAAGCAGCGAUGGGAAUGUAAAAAAUCUGUAUUUCGUAUAAAACU